GAAAGAGUCAAGUAAUAACUUUGUUACAUAUACUUAGUGAGCCCAUAGAAUAUGGGAAGAUAACAGAAAGCAUGGAAUAAAGUCAUUUUAAGUAGUGUUAAAAAUGUGGCAGGAGUGAAUGGUUGCUAUUGAUAAAGCAGUGAAAUCUAUUUGCAUAGCAUUAUAUCCACCAGCAGUAAACCAACAUUCGGAGAAACAGACUGUGGCUCCAAAUAUAAUUUAAAAUAUGCCCACCAAAAAAAGUAUUGGCAAACCAGUUAAUUAUUUGGAGUAAUUGACACUAAUGAACAAAUCAAGAUUUCUAUUUACAGUUUUGUUCACAAUGUAACCACCAUUUGACUACAUUUUAUUGAUUUUUUUUCCAGAGAGCAUGGAGGACUGCUGCUUAUACUGCAGUUAUGUGACUUGCAAAAUGAAAUGAUGAUGGUGCAGUGCGCCUCUCAGAAGAGGUGGGUACGUGCCCUGCCUUCCAGAGGGAACCAAUGAAGGAAACUUGACUGAUGAGAAGAAAGAAUACAGAUGCAACAAGCAAGAGAAGUAGGGACAGGAAAAACAGCAAAAUGAGUGAAAGCAAAGUUACCAAAAAGUUGGAGCGCCACAGGUUGCAAGCAGAAGAAAAUGACUGAAUGCAUAAGAGACAGAUGGAAUUAAAACAGAUGGAAAUUGACACAGAAGCAGCCAGACAGAAAGCUGACCACGAGAUAGUCCUGGAACUGAAAGACAAAGAAAUGAAGCAUGAACUGGUCAUAAUGGAGAGGAGGAGACAGAACCCCCCACCAGGGGGCUCCACCUCUUCAGAAAUCCACAAGUGGGAGCGGUUGUGUCCAGCAUAUAGUGAAUCUGGGGACAUUGUUGAAUACUUCAUCACCGUUGAGAGGCUGUGUAUUCUCCAUGUGAUUCCUGACGAUCAAAAGACGACCACUCUGGUUGCAAAGUUGACUGGGAGAGCUUGGGACAUAUUCAGUAAGAUGCCAGUUAGAGAUGCUUCCAAUUAUGGUAAAUUUAAGGACAUGGGCUUUAAAACGGUUUCAGAUUACACCUGAAAUUUAUAGAGUAACAUUUAAAAGCUUUAAGAGAGGGGCUAGAUUAAGUAAUGUGGCUUAUGUGAACCAAAUGACAGAUCUACUGGAUAAGUGGGUCAGGGGAAAAGGUAUUUGAAGGAAUGUGUGAUUUGGUCACUCAGGAACAGUUCCUGAAUAUGUCUAGUGAUGAUGUGAAACAGUGUUUAUGGGAUAAAAAGGUAGAGACGGUCAAAGAA